ensembl:lncRNA
GUUUUAAAACAGCAACUAUGCUGUCUUUAAUGCAUUAAUAAAGAAGCUCAUAUACCCUACUGUCUCGCUUUUAAAAACUAUUUUAAGAACUGGUAUUCAGUAGCAUUGGUUAUCAUUAUCCUUCUAUGUAUUUAACCUCAAACAUUCAAAUGGGCCCAUAGACGUCAUCAAAGUUCCAAGGGGGCCAUGGCAGAGCCACCAUCAGGACCCCUGUUGUAUGCGAGAGCAGGUGUGUGCACCUGAGGUUAUGUCGUGGCUUCGAACUCCACUCUCCCACUGUGUGGCUGCCUGAUCUGUGCUCUGAUCGCUCACUUUGAAAUGGGAAUGACAGUCACCCCCCAAGGGGGUCGGGGUGAUUCUAACCGCCAGGACUGGUAGCAGGCACUACCUCACACACUUUACACAGGGCUUCUCACUUAAUUGCCCUGCGACCCUAUAAAUGGUGUCCUAGAAUGAUUCCCAUUUUACGGAUGGGAAAACUGAGGCCGAUUUUAAGUAAGUGCCCAAGGUUACGUAGUUUGGAAGUGGCAGAACUGGGAUUGAAACCCGGGCCAUGGGACAACAGAUCCCACGUGUCACCCUGUCGUGCCCCCCAAAAGGUCAAGCACCCUGAUCAACCGAGGUUAUCAUCGGGGUCCCGCAGAGUCUGGAGAAGGCCGGGUUGUAGUUUCUAGGCUUUUGGAGCCUCCAUGUGGCCUUGAGCUCUAACGAGGCGCCCACCGCGUGCUGGUGAGUUCCCACGGUGCAGGGCAGCUGUGCGGCCUUGAGGUGCAGCCCUGCACGGGCGCCGGCCCCCUCUCUGUCCCCUGCACUGCGUCCUCUCUGCCCUCUCACUGUUCCGGUUUCUCAGCGGUUCUCAGCCAAGCCAGGGAAUCUGAAGCCGCGUCGCUUUCUCCAAGGAAUCAGACUGAGAAGAAAGGAAAAUAAGGCGUCGAUGGGAAUUUAAGGUAAACGUCUCCGGAUCUGAGGAGAGGGGCUCUGACAGCCAGUGUGGGCCUCGGGGACCCUGUCGGAGAGGCUCACACAGGUGGGGCACUGUGGCUCUGACCCCGCCCCCCAGGACAGCACCGCUGGGACCAAUUAGAACCCCUCUUCCUGGUCUGGAUUCAUUUGCAUAAACUCUGGGCCCCCAGGAAAAAUUUCCCAAAAGCCUCGGAUUCCUUGCUAAAUGAGAAAAAUUCUUUUUCUUCCUCCAGCUGCCAGUUCACACGUGGCUUCCCAGGCAGGCUCUUGCUGGCUCCUCAGGCCAGCUUGCCUCAUUUGGGGGCCCUUUUGGGACCCCCAUCCUCUUCCCCACCCACCUCAACUCCUUCAUAAUUACUCCUGGUUCCUCCCAGACUCCAGCACCAAGGACAGUGGCUUUGCAUUGCUUGGCCACCUUUGCACAGCCAGGGGCUAGUAGGCCUGAUGUGCUCAAGGAACAAGGAUUUCCUUCCGUGACACCUGUCUGCCCCCUUGUGAGCGAGGCGCCCUGCAAGGGCCACUCCUGGGCCGUUCGGCUGAGAACCAGUUGGUAUUUUCUGGAGCCCUUACCGCGGUUUAGUCUCUCUCUGCUCGUUUCUGGAGCCCCCCCCCCCCCCUUAAGGAGCUUACAGCUGAGCUGCGGAGAUAAGAUGUAAGUCUUGGGAAAGAUUAUUUUUAUUUUUGGAAAGUUGAAUGUUUUAAGCCAGGGUCCCAUGAGGCUGUGGGGUUAGGCUGGAGGCAGAAAGUGCUUAUCUAAUUUGGAAUCACUGAAGAGUUGCAGAAGGGGCCUAAUCGCCCAUCCUUUAAAAAAAAAAAAAAUAUUCUGCAGAGAUUCUGAGAUGCUGCGGUUAUAGGUUUGGGCGAAGAGAAAAUGUCAAAACGUCAAAUCACCGGUUGGAGGGAUCAAGUGGGAAAUUUGGAGACAGCGCCAGAGGGGCUGGGGCCGUCCGGGGUCUGGUCGAGCCCUGCUUGGGACCUGUGGGCACAUCCCAGAUCCCGUCUCUUAACCGACAGUGCGUCCAUCUGCUGGAACCCAGUCACACAGGUGUUCUCAGGUUGGUGCCGCCUCAGUCCAGGAGCUUGGCGGCAGGGGCUGAACUGUCUAAAGGGGAGCAGGAGGCCCCCAAAGCUGGAGGACCAUGAAGACAGCGCCCCCAAUGGUGAGGGGAGAAUGCAGGUUGCUGGUGUGGGAACUUCAAGACACCAGCCUACGCGUGUGUCCCCAGCAGUCAUCUUUCUCCUUCCCCAGAACCGUCAGCAUCGGAAGGAGCUGGGGCAAUUGCACAAAGUGGCCACGGGGUGGCAGUGUAGAACUAAAUCCCUGAUGGAGUUUGAUGCUGGGGCGGACCCGGGGAGGGUUCUCCCUUAAUUAAAUCGACCCGUGCACUGAGCUGAGACCGUGACGGCCAUCCUCUCGGGCUGGGGAGCUGCCCUUGUGCAGAGGCUCUGGGGUGCUUAUUCUAGGCUGGGAACACGCUGAUAAAAAGUUAAUUUCUAUUUGCUGUUGCUGAGUAAUUGGAUGAACACGAAAGCAAUUAAAUAUUAAAAC